rnacentral:lncRNA from 1 species
GCGAAGACGGACGAAAUCAGUGUUUUAUCUUUGCUUUCCUCUUAUCUCCGAUAAAAGGUAAGUAAAGAGGGGCAACUGUCAUACCCUAAUUUCGUCCGGGGACUAUUGUUUGAUGGCAUGCAACCUUUGGUUGACCGCUUCGAGGUACUUGGCACCCUUUGUUGCACAAUACGUGAAGUUCCGAGACAUGCCGGAAAUCAAAAGGAAGCAUUGUUACG